rnacentral:antisense_RNA from 1 species
UUUUUCUUUUCUUUCUUUUGUUUUUCUUUUGGUGUUAACAGUAUCACAUGAGCCAAGAUUGUCAUGAAACUAUUUGGAUACUGUACUCUGGUUCCUUCAUCUCCUCCAGCUGCAUCAGCCUAAAUUGUCCUAGAGCCUCUGCCAUGAACCCGGGGAUAGAUGAGGAAAGAAAUUUCUCCUCCUUCACAGUAUCAAGUGCCAGGCCAGGUCACUUUGUCCAAGGCUCACUGUGAAGAAAGAGUAAUGUUCAAGUUUGGCAGGAGGAAGGACCCUAAUGAAGAGGUUUAUCUGAUUGGUUUACCGGAGUCUUAUGUGGGAUGAAUAGCUUCAGCCUUUGCGCUUCCACCUUUUUGCCGUCCACUCCAAUCAAGAACUGGGGCCCUCGCAACUCUCUCAGUUCUGAAACAAAUUAAAUCUCAGUGACAGGCUC